ACGCUCGACACCUACGGGAGGCCGCAGUGGGGAAUAUUGCACAAUGGGGGAAACCCUGAUGCAGCGACGCCGCGUGAAGGAAGAAGUAUUUCGGUAUGUAAACUUCUAUCAGCAGGGAAGAAACUGACGGUACCUGACUAAGAAGCACCGGCUAAAUACGUGCCAACAGUCGCGGUAAUCUGAGCGGGCUGGCAAGGC
rnacentral:rRNA from 1 species